GGGCCCACCCAAGGGUGGCAGCGGGGAGCCCAGGACCUUCCAUGCAUUUUUUGCCCAUAUCCCAGGAAAUGCCCAUUGAGGCAGCCCCUGGACUUCACUUUGAUAGAAUGGCGUGUGGGGAAUAUCAGGAAAGACGGAAUUAGCAGCAGCUCAGAGGAGCAGAGCAGCCUGGCAAGAGAGAGACAAAAAAGACCACUGCAUUUGGCUCCUCUGGCAACUGUACCCAACCUGGGGCCUCCCAGCUGCUCCCAAGGAGGAAAGACAGCCCGCAGACUCAGUGAACUCUGGACACAGCUGUGCUGGAGAUUUUCACGUUGCUGUCGGACCAGGAGCUUGCAGGAGGCAGUUCCGGAGUGCAGAUGGCCUCAACUGGGAGAGGGAGAGGGAUCCUGCCACGUGGGGCACGGAAACGAGCCUCGGGUUCUUUAUUUCUGAAAGAGUCAAGGUGACAUCUACAGAGAGUUCCCCUUCCUUCUCACAGAGAAGGCCGGUGGUGACGCCUGGCGGUGGAGAGAAGAACAGCCGCGACUUCUGCUGCAGGAACUUCUAUCAAGAAGCUCGUAGGCACACUGGGCACCACUGAGGGUGGUGGGGAGUUUGGGGGGCGGGGGUGGGAGGCAGAAACUUUCAGGGGGUCUGGGAGACUGAAGGGCUUCCCAGAGCAGCACUGACCUGGGCUUCUGUUAGGGAGAUGGAAUCAAGACCUUCCGAUUCCAAAUCUGAUCAGAAAGGGUCUGGGGGGUGGGGGUGGGGUGAAAAUGAGGAGCACUGAGGGAGAGGUAGGGUUGGGGUGGCCCCAUGAGACACCAGAGAGUUCAGGAGGAAAGGUUCCCUAAUGUACUCCCUGCAGCCCAGCUCAUUUGGGGUCAUUAUUCCCCUUUGGGGCCCCAGACACCCCUCCCUGCUAAGAUUUCAAUAUAAGGCAGGGCAUGGGAGGGGGGCAAUGAGCCUGGGAAGGGCCACAGUCUGAAAGAGACCUCAGUGGAGGCAACUCCGAGAAAGUGUCAGCUGUGGCCAUGAAGAGGCAGCAGGAAGGAAGCCACUAGAGAUGCUUUUCUGACCCCCGUUCUGCCCUAAACCACCGUGGCUGCCCCCACCUGCCUCGCGCAGACUCAGUAGCCCCUGCUUCCGAGCCUU
rnacentral:lncRNA from 1 species